rnacentral:rRNA from 1 species
GGUUACUCCUCUAUAGAAACCUGGCUUGGGCAGCUGUUUGGCAACUAUGAGUGAAAGCUUAAAAGUCAAAGUACUUGGCGGCCUUCUAAUCUAAUCAGGGGAAUAUGCCACUUGACUCCGAUGAUCCGCGGAAAUCUUACCCCACCUUGUAAUUAAUGAAGUCAGUCAGUGUACUGCCGUUGUCAGCUGGUUGCGUAAAGAAAGCAAGCUGAAAGCGGCCCAAUGAAGAUCAAUGACUUCAUCAAUUCAGGUCGAAGCGCUACCUACGGUGGGAGAAAUUUGGGGUAUUACAUUUCAGACUCAGGGAACUUGAUUAACGGAUGUCGGGGUUGCAAAACCUAAUUUGCGGGGAAGUUGAACUUGAAAGUAAGGAUGAUUAGAUGAGAAAAAGAGAAUAGCAUGCUCUCCUGAAUAAGCGCUGGAUUGCGUACAUAUCGCCCGUCGCUCUCGCUAUACUUGAAGGGGAGAU